UAUAAUAUGGAAGGAGUGGAACAUUUGUACCGUGGGAUAUAUUAAUUUGCUAUACGAUUACGAUGCCAAAUUCCUGAUUUACUCUGUAAGCUUAUUAAAUUCCCCAAAAUCAGUAUUUUUGAAGAAAUUUCAUACAACGAUUACACAAAUAGCUUUUGAACAUUAAGGAACGAAAUCAGGUAAUGGAUUAUCAAUUCGCAUCAUAUUCAUACACCGCAGUGUCAACGAUGCUGGAAGCAGACAAUUCAGCCGGAUCACCGAUCAUUCACAGGGAAGCUGCAAAGGACAAGCUGCGACUGCCAUCGGGGAUCAAUGAGGACCAGAAACUCGGCUCGUAGAAACCGUGGAAAAUUCGUCGCCACUCGGCGCUGCUACGUUCGCCGACACUUUGCGAAGAAAUGCAGGUAUUUCGUUCUUGUCGAGGCCGCGCCAACCGCAAUCGACAUCGCAUGGAACUUCAGAAAACGAAGACACGGAACUUCACCGACGGUAUUCCCCCGAUAUUUAUUUCGAUCUUCACGGAACUUUCUCACAAUAAAAAUUUCAUUCGUUUUAA